AGCGAACGCUGGCGGCAGGCCUAACACAUGCAAGUCGAGCGCCCCGCAAGGGGAGCGGCAGACGGGUGAGUAACACGUGGGAACAUGCCCUUCGGUUCGGAAUAACUCAGGGAAACUUGAGCUAAUACCGGAUACGUCCGUAAGGAGAAAGAUUUAUUGCCGAAGGAUUGGCCCGCGUCUGAUUAGCUAGUUGGUGGGGUAAUGGCCCACCAAGGCGACGAUCAGUAGCUGGUCUGAGAGGAUGAUCAGCCACACUGGGACUGAGACACGGCCCAGACUCCUACGGGAGGCAGCAGUGGGGAAUAUUGGACAAUGGGCGCAAGCCUGAUCCAGCCAUGCCGCGUGAGUGAUGAAGGCCCUAGGGUUGUAAAGCUCUUUCGGCGGGGAAGAUAAUGACGGUACCCGCAGAAGAAGCCCCGGCUAACUUCGUGCCAGCCGCCGCCGUAACAC
rnacentral:rRNA from 1 species